AACAUUGAGCCUUGAUGUGUAGGAUAGGUGGGAGGCUUUGAAGUGUGGACGCCAGUCUGCAUGGAGCCGACCUUGAAAUACCACCCUUUAAUGUUUGAUGUUCUAACGUUGGCCCGUUAUCCGGGUUGCGGACAGUGUCUGGUGGGUAGUUUGACUGGGGCGGUCUCCUCCUAAAGAGUAACGGAGGAGCACGAAGGUUGGCUAAUCCUGGUCGGACAUCAGGAGGUUA
rnacentral:rRNA from 1 species